AGACCCGAAACCCGGUGAUCUAGCCAUGGGCAGGUUGAAGGUUGGGUAACACUAACUGGAGGACCGAACCGACUAAUGUUGAAAAAUUAGCGGAUGACCUGUGGCUGGGGGUGAAAGGCCAAUCAAACCGGGAGAUAGCUGGUUCUCCCCGAAAGCUAUUUAGGUAGCGCCUCGUGAAUUCAUCUCCGGGGGUAGAGCACUGUUUCGGCUAGGGGGCCAUCCCGGCUUACCAACCCGAUGCAAACUGCGAAUACCGGAGAAUGUUAUCACGGGAGACACACGGCGGGUGCUAACGUCCGUCGUGAAGAGGGAAACAACCCAGACCGCCAGCUAAGGUCCCAAAGUCAUGGUUAAGUGGGAAACGAUGUGGGAAGGCCCAGACAGCCAGGAUGUUGGCUUAGAAGCAGCCAUCAUUUAAAGAAAGCGUAAUAGCUCACUGGUCGAGUCGGCCUGCGCGGAAGAUGUAACGGGGCUAAACCAUGCACCGA
rnacentral:rRNA from 4 species